GCUAACGUGGCUCAGGUGGUAGAGCAGCUGAUUCGUAAUCAGCAGGUCAGGAGUUCGAGUCUCCUCGUUAGCUCCA
rnacentral:tRNA from 1 species